rnacentral:rRNA from 1 species
AUGUACAUGCCUACAACAUAAUGUUAAUGCAUCGGAUCGAACUCCACAGUUAAGCACGCUCGGGGUAGAGUAGUAUUGGGAUGGGUGACUGCUCGGGAAGUCCUAGUAUUUUACAUU